UCGGAUAUGGGGUAGCGGCUAACCUAUCGGUUUUUCAGUUGAAUAACCACCGAAGCUCCGGGUUCGAUUCCCGGUAUCCGAA
rfam:Wallemia sebi CBS 633.66 unplaced genomic scaffold WALSEscaffold_8, whole genome shotgun sequence.